AAGCCCUGUCAGCGCCCCCUCCCCCCUCCUCUGCUCUCCCCCGCCUCCCUCGCUCGCGCUCCCCCCCCCCCCCGGCGCCUAGCGCAGCCUCAGCGCCGCCAUCGCCGCCUGCGCCACCCGCCGCCGCCUGCGCCGGGCGGAGGGGAAAAGUAGUCCCCGCUCCCGGUGAGGGUGGUUGGCCGGGAAGGAAGGGGGUCGGCGGGGACGGAGCGCGUCGCCGCGUCACACAGAGCAAACGUACCUGCUGUCGCAACAGGAAGGAAUGCUAUUUCCAAAGUACAGCCCUGGAAAUUGUUGUCAGACAAUUUAUUACGUACCUCCCAGUCCAAUUCUCCACACGCAGGACUGAGAUCUCGUGCCAACACACACAAUUCCUCACUCUCCCAGUAGCUGAAGCAUUGGGUUUUGCUGUAACAUGCUGACAUUUCAAACCAUGUGGAGAAGGGCCAUAGUAGCUACUGCUUAUAUCACCUUACUUUUCAUGGGGUGUGACUGCCUAGCUUGAAAUUUCUUUCAGCUUAAGUGGACUGCUUAUGAUGACUAACAGUGCUUCUUUGAGAGCUAUCAUUUUUCUCCCCCUCUUCUCCCAAGUCUACCCCACCAGCAGCUCCCUUCGCAGGUAAAGCUAAGAGGAUCCUUUCAGGCCUGAGCUUGUGCUGCUCCAAGCAGACGUAGGGUUUCCGUGUUCCUGACACAACUACUCUCGUUCCUUUCCUUCUUUCAGUGAGAAUUUCUGUCCUGUGAAAGGCAGGCUGCCCCUGAUUUACCUGACAGCUGAGUCCUUUCACUUCCACGAUAAAAUGAGAAAUAACUUUGUCCCCAAGAGUAAAUAUUAGGGAACAAUUAUGAUUAAUAUAUGUUAGAGACAUGUUGGAAGUCAGCAGGAUCUCGACAUUAGAGAUUCAAACCACAUGAGAAGUAGGCAUUCAAUAAGAAGGUAAAAGAGGUUAUUUCAGGAUACUCACUUGCAAGUUUAUUAGUCAUUUAACUGUUUUUGACUUGGUAAAAACACAAAGAAAGCAAACAGGCCACAUAAGCAGCCAUUGCACCCUACUACUAAAUUAAACUAACAAAUAAGAUAAUGGAAGGCAUUGGAGGUGUUGUAGAAAGAGUGGCAUAAACUUAGUUCAAGCCUUUUAAAAUACCACAGAAUUCGAAGUCAAAGCCAGGUGUGUUCUGCUAGAAACACACCUGUGUCAGGAUUGGACCAGCAGCACUUUGUGGUCCAGUGUUGGAAAACAUCCUCUGUAUAAGAUGAGGAAAAACUAAUCUUUUCAUAAAUAGGUAAGAAGUAAAAAGGGUAAAAUGCUUUAUUACAUGAAAGCAUAUGAGAAAUUACUCAGAUGAAAGUAUUCUUUGAGAAAAUAAGUUAGAGGUGAAACUUGGGUAUCUUUUUAGAACUAUUAGAAGUUGAAGACAGCACCAAAAAUGAAGAGGACGCAGAUACUGUACUUCCAGGUGUUAAGAGCAUAAACAUCAAAGUGAAAAAAGAAGAAACAAAGGCAAAAACGUGUUACUUUUUGAUCAUGACUCCUCCCAAGACAAGGAGGACAGCUGACUGGCAUCACGCUGAUAGGAUAAAGCCCUGCUACUACGCACAGCUGCGAUACAGCAAAAAUGAAGUAUGGCGGGGGGGGAACAAUUGCACUCUGGGGGAGCUAAAGUGAUACUGUCAUAGGUUCUCCCAGUCAUAGGUUUCAUUUUUUAAGAUAAAGUAACAUAUAAAGUAUAUGUCCCCUUCUGAUGAAAGGCUGUUAAUAUUUAUUUUUUUAAUACAGUGAGUGAGAAUCAGGACAGUUUUGUACUACAUGAAGGAGCUCUCAGCAUGGUUAGAUUUUACUUUUGUUUGAAACCAUGCUCUGUCAACUUGCAAUCCUAUAUAGCAGGCACAGCUGCUCACAGCAUGGUUAACUUACCUAACAGACCAUCAGCAUGAGAACAGAAGUCUUCUUGCUCUUCCCUUGCUGCUCCUGCCCGCACUGUUUCCCUGCUUUUCAUCUAUGGGUUCCACUGCAUGACCCCAGCUAGCUAGCCAGGGAAGUUCACAGCCUAGCUUCAUUUCCCUCAUGAACAGGGAAAUCAAAAAAACAUCAGGUGUUUUAAAGUCACAAGUCAACUUUCCCCAAAAGUUGAUUGGGGAAAUUCCAAUGCAGUUCCAAUACAUUCCAAAAGAAGUUCCAAUACAACAGUUAACACUCAAGAGGAUUGUUUUUACACAUCUUCCUCAGAGCACUGUUUCCACACAAGCACACGUGCCAUCUCUUAGAUGCCAGACAAGAAGAUCCGAUGCUGUUUUUUUUUAAAAGCGAAAGCAGCACCACUACACUAUCAACUUUCCAUCUCUAAGUCCACUCAAGACUGCAACUACGCUUUUCUACUUGCCGCUCACUGCCUGCGUUACCACCCAUCUCUUGGAAAAGUAUGGGUUUUUACCAACGUUAAGAAUACAGUUAGGAAUCAAAACCAGUAGGUAUUUAUUUAUUCAUUGUUUUCCAACAGGAACACAAUGUGUUCAAUGACUACACCACUUAUACUGUGAGUUCUCAUAGUCAAUGCAGGAGCUACAGAAACAUCCUUUCUUAAUCAAGAUUUAUUUGGCUUUUGUUUGGUGAUCACAGACACUACAAACAAUUUUACAAUUGUUUUUAUUCACAUAGGGUUUUUUAAUCUAAAAACUAUGGUUUUAUUUUUUUUUUAAGCCUAUUUCAAAUAUUUUUCAUCUGAUCAUUGUAGACAAGCUGUCCUUUAAAAUAGGAUGUGAAGUACCAGCUGCGGUUAAGUCUACCAAUCAGAACCUUUUACCUAUUCAGCAUUUAAAGUAAAAAUUUCCAAUCUUUCACACCACAAUUACAAAGUUGUUGAGAAAAAUCAAGCUGUACCUACCAAAAAUAACUUUGUCACAGAUAUACAUCACUCAGCAAGAAAUCCAACACUAGGGAGCAGUUUAUUAGGUAAGCAAUUCUACUGAUGGUACAACCAUAGAUAAAUAACUACAAUGUUAAGACAUCCUCAACAUAUCAUUACGAACUCUAAAGUCCAACCUGUAUUAUGCGUCAUUCAAUAGGA